AACGUAGGAGACGAGCGUUAUCCGGAUUUACUGGGCGUAAAGCGCGUGUAGGAGGCAAUACAAGUUGGAUGUAAAAUCUCCCGGCUUAACUGGGAGGCGUCGUUCAAGACUGUAUAGCUAGAGUAGUGGAGAGGUAAUCGGAACUCCGGGAGUAGCGGUGAAAUGCGUAGAUAUCCGGAAGAACACCAGAGGCGAAAGCGGAUUACUGGCCACCAACUGACACUAAGACGCGAAAGCCAGGGUAGCAAAC
rnacentral:rRNA from 1 species